rnacentral:rRNA from 1 species
GCGGAGGAAAAGAAACUAACCAGUAUUCCCCCAGUAACGGCGAGUGAAGCGGGAAGAGCUCAUAUUGUGAAUCAGUGGUUGAAUUGUGGUCUAUAGAAACUUGCACUAUAACGCUGGACCAAGUCCCUUGGAACAGGGCAGCUGAGAGGGUGAGACUCCCGUACGUCUAGUUUUUGGAGCGUGUUUCAACGAGUCGAGUUGUUUGGGAUUGCAGCUCAAAGCAGGUGGUAAAUUCCAUCGAAAGCUAAAUAAGGGUGGCAGACCGAUAGCGUACAAGUACCGUGAGGGAAAGAUGCAAAGCCGCGCGAAAGCGCUGUUAAAGAGUACCUGAAAUUGCUGAAAAGGAAGCGAAGGAAACCAGUGCCAGCAUGGUCAUACUUCCCUGUCUGCUUGCGGAUAGGGCGCUGUGUCCAGCCUUGUCAUUGUAUAUUGUACUGUCAGGAAAUGUGCCUUGAGAGUUGAUCUAGGUGGC